UCAUCUAGCUGUCCAAAAUUUUCGUGGCAGCGUUGCUACCUCUUCUUUGGCAAGCUCCAUCCGCUGUAUGUGCAGACGAGUGACACGGGCACAAUUACAUCGAUCUGCACUGAGUUACGUGGCUUUGCAUAGCGCUGGAAGUGCAUGUGUCCGGCUGUCCGCUACUAGUACUAAGCUAGUAGCAGCCACACCGAAUAAUUUUUUGCCUGCUCUAGCUUUCCCCUUGCGUGGGUUACCUAGUACUCAGGGAGAUUGCUUUGAUUCUGCUAGUGUAUAUUGCCAUGGUGAUUCCGUUUGGGAGCAGCACCAUCUUCCUCAUAAUUUAUCUGUUGUGUUACUCCCUUUACAUACAGUACUACUAAAUUUGUGUGAUACUUUUGCUUUCAUGGUAUUUAUCCAUGGAUUAGUGCUUUUGAUUUAGUCGCUGCAUCAAAUGUGGUGCACGUUCUUGAACAAAGUUAUCUGUGUAAUUACUUUUGUCACUGCACAUACUUAUUUGAGAAAUUAAAUUGAUGAAAAAUUGCAAGUUAUCUGUACAAUUACUUCGUCAGUGCUUGUAAUGUAUGGUGGCUGCCUGUUCCUUUCUGCUAAUUUUUAUUCAGAACUAGCAAGGAGGCAAAACAUGCUGCUGGUACUUGUUUCCUGUUCUUGAAGAUGACAUAGUAGUACAGACCUACCAUUUGGUGUGCCUAUGUUUAGCUUUCGCAAAUGGAUUCAACCUGUAAUGUAUAGUUCUAAUUACCCAGUAUUAUUUUGCAUGGAUUAGAAAUAGAAACCUUCCCAGUAUGCAAUGGUUUCCCUUCUCAGGUCUUGUUUUGUUUGUAGUGGGGAUUUUUCAAGCAUUGGUCGCUAGUGAUGAUUCAGAUUAUUUUGACUUGCUAAUCAGGCAUCGAGAACACUCCGGAUGAAAGAUCUAAAGGAUGUCAUGUAUAAGCAUGGACUUUCAAAGCAUGGAAAAAGCAGGUUUGUUCACUGAUAUUUUGUAUACCUACGUUUCACACAAAUAAGUUCUAGGUGCUGAUUUACUUCACAUCCAUUGCCCAUAUGCGUCAGUCUACCUUUAUUGUGGGAAAGCACACAAUUGAUCGAAUUUUUAUGGCCUCCAUAUCAAUGACAUAAAAAAUUCGGAAACUAAUGAACCUCCAUGUCAAUUCGGAAUCGGUGGCAAUGGCGGCGUGGCGUGCUUCAUUCUGUUGAAGGGGAUUGUACGAAUGGCUGGAUGGUGGCGGCAACUGAUGACUCCGGUGGCCUCAGCCUCAGAUUGGAUGCCAUAAAUUUAGUUAUCAGUGUAUAUGUAGCAGCUCAGUCAUCACAGUUUUAUCCUUUGUAAAUCUAUGAUUGAAUUACAUGUUGUGAAUUUUGUGCUCCAUAUUAAACAAGGAUUUUAUUUCUGAAAA